rnacentral:rRNA from 1 species
UACGGAGGAUUCAAGCGUUAUCCGGAUUUAUUGGGUUUAAAGGGUGCGUAGGCGGUUUGAUAAGUUAGAGGUGAAAUACCGGUGCUUAACACCGGAACUGCCUCUAAUACUGUUGAGCUAGAGAGUAGUUGCGGUAGGCGGAAUGUAUGGUGUAGCGGUGAAAUGCGUAGAUAUUAGGAGGAACACCAGUGGCGAAGGCGGUCUGCUGGACAGCAACUGACGCUGAGGCGCGAAAGCGUGGGGAGCAAACAGG